rnacentral:tRNA from 1 species
UUUAAUAUGGCAGAGUAAAAUGCACUGGACCUAAGCUCCAUUAACAAGGUUAUCCUUUAUU